GGGAGUGUGUCACUUUCUUUCCAUAAAUAUCGGCUCUCUGUGUUUUUGUUCUAAAAUGUCUCCCAACAGGGUGUGCCUAGGUUCCAGAAACACCUAGGGCUUGAGCUCAAAGGAAACCUUGAUAAGUGAUAACAGAGAGGUGAGGAUAUGUCAUGAUGACCAUAGGUGUGCACAGGGGAUAUGCAAGGUUGAUCUAGGCACACUGCCUUUUCUGACCUAUAUAUAGAUCUGUUUGAGCAUUUUUGUAUGAGUUGAGAUUAGCUUGUUAUUAAGUCAAACAAUAUACAGGUAGCUCCAAGAAAAAAUACUCCAAAC